ACAAUCGCGCAAUGGUUGGAGGGAACGAGAAAAAGAGAAGGAAAAUUGGGACAAGAGAGUUCGUCGCCCCGUUUUCCUCGGAUCUUUUUCUCCUCCUAACCUUCUUUUCUCCCUUCUUUUUGUACAUGGUGUUUUUCU
rnacentral:ribozyme from 13 species